UCGAAGGGGAUUCAUCGCUGGUAUGACAACUGGCUCGACAGCGACAUCCAUCGCCGUUUCCCUCAUUAUCUCUUUGCUCACUUCCAUUUUCUAACUUGUCUUUUUGCGGCUUCGAUUAGCAAAACGACAUUAACAACUCCACUUAACAGCGUCGGGCACAGGGAGGAAGAUAAGGAAAGAUUUGCGAACGAGAUUGAGUCAGGCCGAGUCAAGUUGCAGAGUUAUUCUGACGAGUCGUCGUUCAGGUAGGAGACCGAGUCGAAGAGGAGUCAGACCUUGUUUGGGUCGACAGCAAAGACAAAGCACGGCGAGGUCGAGAGGAAGAAAGGAACUCCAUGGACAGAAGAAGAACAUAGGUCUUUGCCAAAUGAAUGGGAAGCUAAGGUUACAACUAUCCAAGAAGCAAAAGACCUAACAAAAUUAGGCAUUGAAGAACUCCUAGACUCACUCAUGGCUCAUGAACUUUCAAUGAUAGAUGGCAGCAAAAAUGAAGCCAUUUGGAGAGAAAAUAAUGGAGUAGCCAACCUGUGUCUCAUAGCUCUUGGAGAACAAGAAUCCACUCAAGAUGAUGUAAUUUCUAAUUAUGUAGAACUUGAAAGUGCUUUCAAUGAAUUACAUGACAUAUUUAGAAAUGUUUGUGUUGAGAAUUCUAAAUUAAAGAAAUUAGUUACUUCUCUUUCAAAUGAU